rnacentral:tRNA from 1 species
GCCUGGGUGGCUCAGUUGGUUGAGCGUCCGACUUCAGCUCAGGUCACGAUCUCGCGGUCCGUGAGUUCGAGCCCCGCAUCAGGCU